GGAAGACUGCCUCCCACCUUCGGACCGUGGAUCGGAUAAACGGUGCCCUGGCAUCACGAAGUGAACAAGCAUUCAAGAUAUCUGCUUCCUGUCAGUGAAUAGGGAGCUCGAUCUGCUUAUUUCCCGGUUAUGAAAUAUUUUUUUAGUCAUCUUAGAGAACUCAGGUUAAACCUUUAUAAAGCAUUGAACCUGCUUAGGAAUCCAAUGAUACUGGAAUUUCCCACUGUUUGAUGUUCAGGACACUAGGAAAGAUAAUAUCACUUUUGAAACUAUAAGGCAGGGGCCAUACUGGGG